AUGGAAAGCAAUGUAGACCUAGAGGCGUCUGAUUUACAGGUCACAGAUAACUGGGAGUUCGCAUCCGCCGUAGGCCCAGGCGCAGUUACAUCUAGGAUUUCAGUGCAAAAGCCGUGCAACAUAUUCUCCCAGUUUGGACAGUUCAAGAGGAAGUUGAUAGCAGAGAUUGGUUUUGAAGGCGUGCUGUCACUCAGGUCCCUGCCGAAGCUGAACCUGAAAUUCAGUUCGUUCCUCAUGGAGAGGGUGGAUGCAGACACAUGCGUAAUCACCAUAGAUGAAGGGCGUUCAAUCAAGUUCACAGCAGCUGAUGUCAACAAUGUUUUUGGGCUUCCAGUAGGUGGGAAAAGGAUAUCAACAUAUCCAUGUGACUUGUCGGAGGCAUGCAUUGAGUACAAGAAAUUUGCAGAAGAGCUUAGUGACAAGGGCACACAUAACCUGAAAGCUGCAGAGGCCAUACUAUUGAAAGACAUCCAGGAAGACUCGCCUAGGGUCGCCAUAGAGAUGUUUAAAAUUGCCGCUGUUAUUUUUAUUUUUGGGCAUUUGCUAUGUCCUUCGUCGAAGAAUGACUACACCAGCGUAGACUACUGGGGUGCACUGAACACAACUUUAGAGAUUAGUCAAUUUGAUUGGUGUGAAUUUGUCAUCGAGCACCUGUUAAGCGCUGUCCGAAAGCUGAAGACUGAUCUUCAGACACGGCACUCAACUAUACAUCUUGUGGUUGCCAUCUGUUCCUACAGGUUUUUGUGCUCGACAAUUUGGACCUGGGUCAGCAAACUCCUCGAGACCCUUCGACGCCCAGGGUCUGUGUUUUCGAUUAUGACAUCACCCGCAAGAUGA
rnacentral:rRNA from 1 species